UACGGAGGGGGGCGAGCGUUAUUCGGAAUUAUUGGCGUAAAGGGCGCGUAGGCGGCUUGGCAAGUCAAAGGUGAAAUCCCUCGGCUCAACUGAGGAACUGCCUUUGAAACUGCCUGGCUUGAGGCCGGGAGGGGGUAGCGGAAUUCCCCAGUGUAGCGGUGAAAUGCGUAGAUAUCUGGAGGAACACCGGUGGCGAAGGCGGCAUCCUGGACCGGCAUUGACGCUGAGGCGCGAAAGCCAGGGGAGCAAACGGG
rnacentral:rRNA from 1 species